rnacentral:rRNA from 1 species
UACAGAGGGUGCAAGCGUUGUUCGGAAUUAUUGGGCGUAAAGCGCGUGUAGGCGGCUUUGCAAGUCGGGUGUGAAAGCCCUCAGCUCAACUGAGGAAGUGCGCCCGAAACUGCAGAGCUUGAGUGCCGGAGAGGGUGGCGGAAUUCCCCAAGUAGAGGUGAAAUUCGUAGAUAUGGGGAGGAACACCGGUGGCGAAGGCGGCCGACCUGGACG